rnacentral:rRNA from 1 species
GACGAACGCUGGCGGCGUGCCUAAUACAUGCAAGUCGAACGCAGUUGCGAGCGGGUGAGGAACGCGUAGGUAACCUGCCUCAUAGCGGGGGAUAACUAUUGGAAACGAUAGCUAAUACCGCAUACUGCGGGAUGGACCUGCGUUGUAUUAGCUAGUGGGUGAGGUAAAGGCUGACCAAGGCGACGAUACAUAGCCGACCUGAGAGGAUGACCAGCCACACUGGGACUGAGACACGGUCCAGACUCCUACGGGAGGCAGCAGUGGGGAAUCUGCGACAAUGGGCGAAAGCCUGAUGCAGCCAUGCCGCGUGUAUGAAGAAGGCCUUCGGGUUGUAAAGUACUUUUGGCGGGGAAGCGGUAUUUGCAGAAGAAGCACCGGCUAACUACGUGCCAGCAGCCGCGGUAAUUC